CCCGCAACGAGCGCAACCCCUGCCUUUAGUUGCUAACAGGUCAAGCUGAGCACUCUAAAGGGACUGCCGGUGGAAAACCGGAGGAAGGUGGGGACGACGUCAAGUCCUCAUGGCCUUUAUGUCCAGGGCUACACACGUACUACAAUGGCCGGUACAAAGAGUCGCAAACCUGCGAAGGGGAGCCAAUCUCAAAAAGCCGGUCUCAGUUCGGAUUGGUGAGAGGCAGCUCGACUCCAUGAAGCUGGAAUCGCUAGUAAUCAC
rnacentral:rRNA from 1 species